UACGAAGGGUGCAAGCGUUACUCGGAAUUACUGGGCGUAAAGGGUGCGUAGGUGGUUCUUUAAGUCUGCUGUGAAAGCCCCGGGCUCAACCUGGGAAUGGCAGUGGAUACUGGAGAGCUAGAGUGCGGUAGAGGGUAGUGGAAUUCCCGGUGUAGCAGUGAAAUGCGUAGAGAUCGGGAGGAACACCAGUGGCGAAGGCGGCUACCCGGACCAGCACUGACACUGAAGCACGAAAGCGUGGGGAGCAAACAGG
rnacentral:rRNA from 1 species